GGGCCUAUAGCUCAGCUGGUUAGAGCGCACGUCUGAUAAGCGUGAGGUCGAUGGUUCGAGUCCAUUUAGGCCCA
rnacentral:tRNA from 1 species